UUAAUUCCUUAAUAUUUUUAUGCAUAGAAUAAGAUGAAUCAUUUGAUGUAAAGGACACAGAGUUCCUUCAAUAAAAAUUAAUUUUUUGAAACUGUUUUCUAAUCAUAUUACUUGUUUUUCUCAAAUUUAGCCUAUAAUGUUAGCACUUCUUUUAGAGAAACUGGAAGAAGUCGACAGGGAAGAGCCACUCAAUGACAAAUUGAAGCUCUAAUAACUUAUUUAGAACAAUAUCCUCAUGUAGCUGGUAAAUUUAUAACAAUAAACAAUAACAUACAAUUAUAAGGAAGUUGGGAAGAUUUUACUUUCUUAAAUUCAUUAGGAUCUAAAGACAAAGAAAAAGAUGUAAAAUCAUGGAAGACUAAAAAAGAAUUCUAGGAAUAAUUGAACACGAAUAUGUACAAGGUAUAUCGAUGUACCUGACAGUUUUUCCAAAGAACGUGAUAAUGUCAUUGAAGAAUUGACAGCAAAAAAUGAAAAUAUUUUAAACGAAACACCAGCUCCAAUUAUCCCAAGAAUUAGAAGACAUAGAUAGGCAGAACGUUUAGGAGUACAAUUAUAUGAUGCUCGAGAAUUUUUUGGGGCAAUAGCAGACAAACAUGUUGAAGCAAUAAUGAUUAGUCUUAUUGUCAAUUUAUCUUAAGAAUAUUUUAAUUUUAAUAAUAAGAAAAUUUUGACCAAUUUAUGUAUACACAACUAACUUGAUGCUAGCUGAGGCUAUGAAAUUAUUCGCAAGCCGAAGCAUUAUUGCGAAUAAGCGAAACUACAGAUAGAAUGGCAAAGAAUGAAGAACGAUAAACACAGUUAUUAGAAAUCAUAUUUGAAUGUUUGAAAAACAACGAGAAAAAAAGAGAAGAGAUGAACGGUGCAAGAAUUAGAUCAGCUAAAAACAAC